rnacentral:rRNA from 1 species
ACGGGUGCGUAACACGUGGGAACGUACCCUUCGGUUCGGAAUAACUCAGGGAAACUUGAGCUAAUACCGGAUACGCCCUUUUGGGGAAAGGUUUACUGCCGAAGGAUCGGCCCGCGUCUGAUUAGCUUGUUGGUGGGGUAACGGCCUACCAAGGCGACGAUCAGUAGCUGGUCUGAGAGGAUGAUCAGCCACACUGGGACUGAGACACGGCCCAGACUCCUACGGGAGGCAGCAGUGGGGAAUAUUGGACAAUGGGCGCAAGCCUGAUCCAGCCAUGCCGCGUGAGUGAUGAAGGCCUUAGGGUUAUAAAGCUCUUUUGUCCGGGACGAUAAUGACGGUACCGGAAGAAUAAGCCCCGGCUAACUUCGUGCCAGCAGCCGCGGUAAUACGAAGGGGGCUAGCGUUGCUCGGAAUCACUGGGCGUAAAGGGCGCGUAGGCGGCCGAUUAAGUCGGGGGUGAAAGCCUGUGGCUCAACCACAGAAUUGCCUUCGAUACUGGUUGGCUUGAGACCGGAAGAGGACAGCGGAACUGCGAGUGUAGAGGUGAAAUUCGUAGA